rnacentral:lncRNA from 1 species
UGGAUAAUUGGAAAGUCCAUGUAUGUCAACCUCUGUGCUUCGUGGCAAGGUAGACUAGCAAACAUGCCCAACCUUUACUCACAUUCGAGAAAACACUCCCAAUAAGAUUGCUUGCUCCAAAAUCGAAGAGGCACCGCCCUCCGAAUCUAAAGAGCCAGACUCCCAACAUGACUACUUUCUUAAAAAUCGAAGAGAGGGUAAAGGAACAGUACCAUUGCUGGAUAAUUGGAAAGUCCCUGUGUGUCAACCUCUGUGCUUCGUGGCAAGGUAGACUAGCAAACAUGCCCAACCUUUACUCACAUUCGAGAAAACACUCCCAACAAGAUUGCUUGCUCCAAAAUCGAAGAGGCACCGCCCUCCGAAUCUCGAGAGCCACUCUCCCAACAUGAUUACUUUCUCAAAAAUCGAAGAGACACUGCUCCCCGAAUCUCGAGAGCCAGACCCCCAGCAUGAUUGCUUUCUCAAAAAUCGGUGAGGCACCAUUCUCCGAAUCAAUCGAAGAGGCGCUCGCUUUCUCAAAAGCUGGGCUGCUCAGAGACAACGAGGGCCGAUCUCAGAAAUCGAAGAGGCACCUACUUUUCUAGCCUUGUCAGCACCUGUCACACGCACACUCAGCUUUGCAGAAAUUAUGGGCAUUCUGUCGAAGACUUCUGGUGAAGUAGAAAGCACAUGAAUCUUACUGUUCAAUCACCCACUUCCCACACGCAACAAUAACUCAUGGGUACCACAUAUCACUUUGCCAAAGUUCUCUGCCAAAGUUGAGCACGUGAAGCUUGCAGCUCCCACUACAUCGCUCUGACCAAGAAAGGUAAAAGAAUAGCAAAGAAACAGCACUAACAAAGUUUAGACACAUAAAUUUUGAAGGUCUAGCUACCAUAUUAUUACCCACAAGGGUAAAGGAACAGUACCACUGCUGGAUAAUUGGAAAGUCCCUGUGUGUGUCAACCUCUGUGCUUCGUGGCAAGGUAGACUAGCAAACAUGCCCAACCUUUACUCACAUUCGAGAAAACAGUCCCAACAAGAUUGCUUGCUCCAAAAUCGAAGAGGCACCUUCCUCCGAAUCUCGAGAGCCAGACUCCCAACAUGACUACUUUCUCAAAAUCGAAGAGAGGGUAAAGGAACAGUACCAUUGCUGGAUAAUUGGAAAGUCCCUGUGGUGUCAACCUUUGUGCUUCGUGGCAAGGUAGACUAGCAAACAUGUCCAACCUUUACUCACAUUCGAGACAACACUCCCAACAAGAUUGCUUGCUCCAAAAUCGAAGAGGCACCGCCUUCCGAAUCUCGAGAGCCAGACUCCCAACAUGAUUACUUCCUCAAAAAUCGAAGAGACACUGCUCUCCGAAUCUCGAGAGUCAGACCCCCAGCAUGAUUGCUUUCUCAAAAAUCGAAGAGGCAUCGUUCUCCGAAUCUCGAGAGCCAGAUACCACAGACCACUUUUUCAAAGUGCUCUGACAGAGUUAAAACAUGUGAAACUGGCAGCUCCC